GGCAGUCCCCUAUACUCCCAUUGGCUAAUGGAAGAUCCUUACCCCUCUAGUAAUUGUCUUCCAUUGCCAUUUUUUUCCACAGGUUCACCAGAACAGCAGCAAAAGCUGCAUUUUAGAUUCUCCCAGAAACCUCAUGGAAACAAUCAGUUGGCAACCCACAGACAGAUGGCUACGUUUCUGAGUGAAGUGACUAGAUGUGUCCAGCAACAGGGCUACAAGCUGGGCUGCUGUACAGGCACUGGAACAACUGUUCAGAAACAAUCCUCUUCCAGUUUCCACACGGGCUGAGAACUGCAAAGCCUACCCCCAUUCCAUUCACACCUGGAUCGCUCCUCCUCCGGCUGCUUUCCCGCCCGGAAGCCGCUCCAGGGCCCGCGGUGCCAAAAACAAC